rnacentral:miRNA from 1 species
GCUGACACAGCCCGGCCAAUCUCCAGCAGAUUCUCCCUCCCAGACCCUCCCACCUCCUGGACAGCAUCCAUGUUGGGCUUCAACAUGGAUGCUGUCCAGGAGGUGGGAGGGUCUGGGAGGGAGGGUCUGCUGGAGAUUGGCCGGGCUGUGUCAG